CCUACGGGAGGCAGCAGUGGGGAAUAUUGGACAAUGGGCGCAAGCCUGAUCCAGCCAUACCGCGUGGGUGAAGAAGGCCUUCGGGUUGUAAAGCCCUUUUGUUGGGAAAGAAAAGCAACUGGCUAAUACCCGGUUGUUCUGACGGUACCCAAAGAAUAAGCACCGGCUAACUUCGUGCCAGCAGCCGCGGUAAU
rnacentral:rRNA from 1 species